GACGAACGCUGGCGGCGUGCUUAACACAUGCAAGUCGAACGGAAAGGCCCUGCUUUUGUGGGGUGCUCGAGUGGCCAACGGGUGAGUAACACGUGAGUAACCUGCCCUUGACUUUGGGAUAACUUCAGGAAACUGGGACUAAUACCGGAUAGGAGCUCCUGCUGCAUGGUGGGGGUUGGAAAGUUUCGGCGGUUGGGGAUGGACUCGCGGCUUAUCAGCUUGUUGGUGGGGUAGUGGCUUACCAAGGCUUUGACGGGUAGCCGGCCUGAGAGGGUGACCGGCCACAUUGGGACUGAGAUACGGCCCAGACUCCUACGGGAGGCAGCAGUGGGGAAUAUUGCACAAUGGGCGGAAGCCUGAUGCAGCAACGCCGCGUGCGGGAUGACGGCCUUCGGGUUGUAAACCGCUUUCGCCUGUGACGAAGCGUGAGUGACGGUAAUGGGUAAAGAAGCACCGGCUAACUACGUG
rnacentral:rRNA from 1 species